rnacentral:lncRNA from 10 species
GAGAUUUGAGUUUUGUUACCAGAGCAGAUCUUUGUCAUCCUGGAUAAUGUGCCUGAGAAGAAGAGGUUUAAGGAAGAAAACUUGUGAACACCAAUGUGCUUGUUAGACUCCUUUGCUUGCUCCCUGUUAUACACUUGCCACUACACUUCUGACUUAGAUGUGGUACUUUGUUAGUAUCUGUGAGGACUGAAAAUGAGAUCGAAGAGAAAAAUCCAAUCAAGCAUUAAGUAAUCAUAUUUAAAUGGAAAAUGGGAAGAUACUAUUAACGAAUUCAAUGGUGGCUUGGUCCUGAUGACACUCUUCUUGAAUUAUACGAUGUUCUUAUCUCUUGCGGGGCUGUUGAAAUAAUCAAAUCUUUGUAC